AUUGAACGCUGGCGGCAGGCCUAACACAUGCAAGUCGAACGGUAACAGGAAGCAGCUUGCUGCUUUGCUGACGAGUGGCGGACGGGUGAGUAAUGUCUGGGAAACUGCCUGAUGGAGGGGGAUAACUACUGGAAACGGUAGCUAAUACCGCAUAACGUCGCAAGACCAAAGAGGGGGACCUUAGGGCCUCUUGCCAUCGGAUGUGCCCAGAUGGGAUUAGCUAGUAGGUGGGGUAACGGCUCACCUAGGCGACGAUCCCUAGCUGGUCUGAGAGGAUGACCAGCCACACUGGAACUGAGACACGGUCCAGACUCCUACGGGAGGCAGCAGUGGGGAAUAUUGCACAAUGGGCGGAAGCCUGAUGCAGCCAUGCCGCGUGUAUGAAGAAGGCCUUCGGGUUGUAAAGUACUUUCAGCGGGGAGGAAGGGAGUAAAGUUAAUACCUUUGCUCAUUGACGUUACCCGCAGAAGAAGCACCGGCUAACUCCGUG
rnacentral:rRNA from 1 species